GAUGAACGCUGGCGGCGUGCUUAACACAUGCAAGUCGAACGGAAAGGCCCUGCGUUUGUGGGGUGCUCGAGUGGCGAACGGGUGAGUGACACGUGAGUAACCUGCCCUUGUCUUUCGGAUAACUUCAGGAAACUGGGGCUAAUACCGGAUAGGAGCUCCUGCUGCAUGGUGGGGAAUGGAGAGUUUCGGCGGUUGUGGCUGGAUUGGCGGCUUAUCCGCUUGUUGGUGGGGUAGUGGCUGACCAAGGCUUUGACGGGUAGGCGGCCUGGGAGCGUGACCGGGGACAUUGGGACUGAGGUACGGCGCAGACGGCUACGGGAGGCAGCAGUGGGGAAUAUUGCACAAUGGGCGGACGCCUGAUGCAGCAGCGUCCCGUGCGGAAUGACCGCCUUCGGGUUGUAAACAGCUUUCGCCGGAGACGAAGCGUGAGUGACGGUAAUGGGUAAAGAAGCACCGGCUAACUACGUG
rnacentral:rRNA from 1 species